AUCACAUAAAACAAUGACCUUAAACCGAAUUUUGUAAAUAAAUGUUCAAUUAAAAUCUUGAAAUAGAUCUAGACUCCAAGCAAUUAAAAUGAAUUUAACAAGAAGAGAACUUCAAAAACACUGUUUAAAAUAAAUAGAUCUCGCUAAAAGAACAGGUCUAGUGUCAAGUUAUCUGAAACCGCGUCUGCUUCUGUCCUAUCUGUGUUCCAAGAAUCUACGAUGUUUUCCUUGGCUGUGAUCCUCGCCUUGAUCUGCAUUGGAAGUUCAGUGACCAAUGCCCAAAUUGGUAUUCACAUUGAACAAGGCACCAAUUAUUUUUAUAAUUUUAAAACGGGUCAAGCUCAAAUUGCAUUUAAAACUCCAUUCCGCGAGCCGCCUACUGUUAUUCUAUCCAUGACAGUAAUAGAGUUUGACUUGAAAUCCGGCGCGAAAGUUGAUACUUACUACGAGAACUUAACCACCACUGGGUUUACACUGAAAAUCUUUUCGUGGUUGAAUACCACAGUGUUUAAAAUCCGAGUACAAUGGUAUGCCAUUGGCUACUCCCUAUGGUAACACUGGCUUUUAAUUGGCAUACAAAAUAAAAUCAAUUCAAAUAACA